rnacentral:tRNA from 1 species
AAUGAAUUGCCUGAAAAAAGGACUAUUUUGAUAGAAUAGAUCAUGUAAUAAUAUUACAUUCAUUA